UAAGGAUCCCCGACUCUUCAUCGUAAUGUUCGUGGUGGAUGUGACUGACUUGAUAACACAGGCAACUUGCCCACUGACGAGUAGGAGCAGGCUCGGCUCACCGCUACCAACCCUCUGCUGACUCGAGAGUAGCGAAGACGAACACACGCUGUCCUCCGAAGCGUGUGCUGUCAUCCAAUCGCUUCUUUUCACUCUGCAGGCCAGCCAUGCAGCCAACCCAGAGCUACAGCGUCGGAGGAGCCAGACCACAGGAGUCACUGGUCCGCAGUGAGCUGAGGACACCCAGGCCGAAAUACAUGUGAUGUCAACAAUUCAGCGGCAGAGUACACACGAUCCAGUCCUGUGGAAACAAACAGGCUACUGCUGCCAGACAACAGAUGUUAUUCCAACAAGCAGAGCAUUUUCGGCAAUGUGACUGGGCUAGUUGGAUGAGGCAGCAACACCAGCAAAUUGUGGUAAUGGACACAGCAUUGCUGAGACUGCGAGACCAGCCACGUUUAUGGUUGACGUUGCCACUGACCCAAUUCUGAUGCCCAGCAUUUCCUCUUCUGGCAGGGGACGAUCUAGCGUUAUUAGCCGGUCCAGUCACCUUUCUCGAGACAUUCGCACCAGGGAAGGAAGACAUCAUGCCUCAUAAAUUUUAGAAUAAAUAAAUAAAUGUAUAUACUUUA